rnacentral:rRNA from 1 species
AGACGGUAGGGUAUUGGCCUACCGUGGCUAUGACGGGUAACGGGGAAUUAGGGUUCGAUUCCGGAGAGGGAGCCUGAGAAACGGCUACCACAUCUAAGGAAGGCAYCAGGCGCGCAAAUUACCCAAUCCUGACACAGGGAGGUAGUGACAAGAAAUAACAAUACAGGGCCUAACGGUCUUGUAAUUGGAAUGAGUGAAGUAUAAACCCCUUUACGAGUAUCAAUUGGAGGGCAAGUCUGGUGCCAGCAGCCGCGGUAAUUCCAGCUCCAAUAGCGUAUAUUAAAGUUGUUGCAGUUAAAAAGCUCGUAGUUGGAUUUCUGUUGUAUAACCUGUAAUAUUACUAAGGUAUAUAUAAUAUAAUCAACAUCCUUCCUAUUAUAUUUCUAAAUAUAUAGGAAACUUUACUUUGAGAAAAUUAGAGUGCUUAAAGCAGGCAACUGCCUUGAAUACUCCAGCAUGGAAUAAUAAGUAAGGACUUUUGUCUUUCUUAUUGGUUCUAGGACAAAAGUAAUGGUUAAUAGGGACAGUUGGGGGCAUUCGUA